UUCAGGAGGAUGCAAAAGAAGAAAUUUACUCCUCCAGUCACAUGGACUGACCUUCAAUGAGAGUAAAACUUUCCUACGCUUUAUUUUAUUAGAUCUCUAAAAACUUCAUCCAUUUUCUCACAAUGUUUUGUGAUUUAUAAAAUUUUCCUGAAUAAAGGAUCGUCACAAAAGUUAUUUUUUUAAGGCCACCCCAUUAAAAUAGCUGUUUUCAGUACUUUCACAUUUGGGUAUUUUACACAAACUCUGGAUUUUUUUUAUGUACAUGAAAUCAUUAUCAUCUGUCCCGCGUAACUAAAUCCUCCACUUUUCCCGGUCACCAAUGUUCUUAACAAGAGAGAGAGGCUGGUCCAUUAUUUGCGUAGUCCAGCCAGCUUUUCUUCUGACAAACCUUUUUUCGUUUAUUCUCUUAAAGGAUAUUUUUUUAAAAGUUAGUCUUACAAAAUACAAUUCCAAACCAACGCAUGCAGUUAUCGUCUUUUCACAGUAUUGAGGAGUCAUCCUUUUUGCCAGCCAGAGUGUUAAUUGGCAAAAGUAAAAAAUUCAUUAUUUUAAUUUUUUUAGUAAAUAUUCACAACUAUAUCUUUUAUAUAAUAAUAUAUUUUUUAAAUAAUAAUAUCUUUUAUAUAGACAUGCUUUAAUAGAUCUAAUAAAUGAUUAACGCGGCCCUACCAAUAUGGGUAUAUUAAUACUUAAAUCUGGGUAUUUUAAAUUUCGAAUGCGCAUUUUUUAAAAACCGAACUUAUCUAUAGAUCUCUUAUAUCUAGAUCUACAACACCCAGACUUAGACUAUGGUUCUAGAUCUAUUUAAAGAUAUUUUUAAAAAAAUAACUCAAUAGAUCUAAUAAAGUCAUGAUUUCCACUCUAUUUUCUCUAGAUCUAGACCAUACAUGAGAUCAAUAUGAAUGUUUAUAGAUCUAGUGACUCUAGUCUUCGUCUAGAUCUAUCGAUCAUCUAUAGACUAUAGACUAUUAUACUUAUCCCCCCCUGUAACUGUAUUAAAAAUAAUUAAUUAGUGUAUAGUGACGGUAAUUAUAGUCACUAUAAUCAAUAGUGUAUUGCCUGUAGAUCUAGUACCUGUACUAAUAUUAGUAGAUGUAGAUCUAUAAUAAUAAUACUUUUUAAUAGUAGAAAGUAGAUUUAUAAUCUAUCAAUUCUAUCUAAUCUAGAUCUAAAUCUAGACUUCACUUUCACAUCACAUCAUUAUUGAUACAGACAGUGAAUGAAACGAAUGCAGUGAUUAUAUUAGGCCUAUAGUUUAUACUGAUUAUACUUAUAGCUCUACCAGUUAUCAUCAUCAUCAUAGAUAAUAAUCUAGACUAGUAUUCUAGAUCUAUAAAUAAUCAUAGUCACCGUGAUAGUGCCCUUUUUAGUCAAUGUAGUCAAGUCAAGAUAGUGAAACAUAAACUCGAAGGUUUAAUACAAUACAGUAUAAGUAGAGUCUGUGAGUUAGUAUAAGAUCUAAUUAUUUUGUUUCUUUGUAUGUCAAUGUCUCUAUUAAAAUAAUUAAUAUCAUCAGCCAUAUCAUUUUAAAUAUUAAAAUAGUAGACAUAGAUUUCUAUAUUAUAAAUAGAUAGAUUAGAUCUAUAAAAUAUAAUUUUACAAACUUUAGAAAUGAUUGAUUUUAUUUUUAAUUGAUCAGCCUUCUAGACUAGAUCUAGCAUCUCUAGCUAGACUCUAACUUGUAGUUUGUAGAUCUUGGAAUUGGAUCGAAAUUCACCUUCCUAAAUUGUCCCUAAAGUCUGUAGCUGAUUUGAGAGGCCCAACGAGGCAAGAGUCUAUUCUAUUACUAUUAGUACUCUGUCUCUUGAUCUAUCUAGUAGGCCUACUUAGCUAGUGCAUUAGCCUUAGCCAUAGUGUAGUCAAAUCUUGACAACUAGUCUUCUAGAUUCUAGAUCUAAGCUUCUAGAAUAAUUAGAUCUAGAUCCAGUUUAGAUUUAGAAUAUAAAAGUAUUUUACUAGCUAAAAUACUAAAUCUACUGAUCUAAAUUCUAGAUAGAUAUACAAUAUAUAGAUCCAGUUUAGAUUUAUAAUAUAAAAAUAUUUACUAGCUAAAAUUCUAAAUCUACUGAUCUAUACUUAAUAUUUUAGAUAUUAUAUGACAUCUACAAAAAUUAUUAUUAAGAUAUAAUUAUAGGAUCUAGACUAGUUAUUUAUGUACAUAAAAUAUAUAAUAAAUAAAAGAUAAAAUUUAUGCAGGCCUAGAUCCCAUAAAUUUAUAAUUGAUCCAGAUCUAUCAGUAAAAGUUACCUUCGAUGGGAAGUUUUACCCAAUCUAAUCUAUACAAGACAAUUUAUAAUCCAUGCCUCGCCUACACCCCAUACAUUAAAUUCUUAAUUAAAUUCUUCCCUAGUGCUAUUAGAGCAUGGAAUGGGUUGCCUGAGCUAGCCAGGAAAACCAGUGACUUGGCUGAAUUUAAGUCAUUGGUUAAUAUGCAUGACUAAAUGCAUGACGCGUAGGACGUAAUCAUCUUCUUUUUUGAAGUAACGUCUGUAUUAUAUAAGAUAAGAUAAGAUAAUAGUUCCCAUUCCAUGCCAUGCCCAGACCCAGAGUUCAUGAAAUAAUAAAUGAUGUGGUGUCAAGUUGGAUCUAUGCCCUGAAAUUCAGCACUUUAAUAUAAAACUCACAUAUCUAGUUAAUUAUUUGCUAUAACACUCUCAUCAACUUGGACUUGUGUGAUACAUAUAUGUUUCUUAUCAGAUUUAAUGAAUGAAGUUUUGGUGCAUUUUAAGGCUACAAAAGUAUCAUCAGGUGCAUUCUAACCAGUGGUAUUUUUCCUGGCAACAUUUCUAUUCUAGUCUGUGAUAAAUUAUAAAUUUAAAAAAAUGUUUGUAAUGUUUCAGUUAUUAACAAGUAGAACCAUGCCAACCAGUUCUUAUGAUGUACCAGAAUGGCUCAAGGAUCAUACUUAUUUAUACUAUUUCUACUCUCUGGGCAGACAUUAAUAAUAUUGGCAUCCAUUCAAUAUUUAUUUUAUGUUUGGAAAUGCAAGAAAAAGGCAUGCAUUCCUGACAAGUCAAUGAUUGGUUGCACUUCUUAAAGAUAACUUUCUGUUAUGAGAAAAGAUGAGAUUCUUGGACUCCUGCAUAGCACCACCAGAAAGGAAAAUCCCAUCAUGUUGCAAAAUAAAAGUCUUGGACCAAUUUUAAUUUAAGAUAUAUAUAUUAUACUGUAAGCUCUAUACAUAUUUAUGUAUAUCCUGUCAUUCAGCCAACAGGUUUGGAUUUAGUAUUUCUUUAAAUCUGUUUGAUAUUGUACUUGAAAACUAUUAAUCUGAGCCACAUUAAAACAAUAGGGAGUGCAGUGAAUGAGUGGUAAAGCACUUGGCUUCUGAACUGAGGGUUCCUGGGUUCGAUUAAGACUGGGAUUUUCAAUUUCAGAAUUCAAAAGGCUAGGGAUACAUGGCAAUAGUAAGGAAUAAGUAAAGGCAGUUUGGGGAUCCAUGGCUGAAUGGUUAAGUCAUGGGUUUGAAUCUCUGUGAAGACUCAGAUUAAAAUUUUUUUUAGAUUUUUGGGUGCCCCUGAGUCCACCUAACUCUAAUGGGUAGCUGACUUUCGUUUUGGAAAGUAAAGAUGGUUGGUUGUUGUGCUGGCCACAUGAUGCACUGGCCAAAGAAUCAAAUGACCUUAACAUCAUCUGCCCUAUAGAUUGUGAUGUCUGAAAUGGGAUUUUUUUUCAAAAGGUGGUUGGUUGUUGUGCUGGGUACAAGACACCCUCGCUAACCAUGGGGCACAGAAACUGAUAAACUUUAUAUCAUCUGCCCCAUAGAUUGCAAGAUAUGUAAGGGAAAUUUUACUUUUUUAAAAUUAAAAUAAGAAUCUAUCAAAAGUAAACAUAAAAUAUGGUGCAUUCUCCUUAAAACUAAAACCUGGUGCGAAGGUUUAAAAUGUUGGCAAAAAAAAGCAACAUCAUAUAUUCUUAAUUCCCUUUGCAAAACUUACUGAGAAGAAUAUGCAUGUUGUUCCCUCAUAAGUUUCUUGACAGAGGAAAUCUUGUUUAUAUUAGAUUUGAAUUAAGCAAAUUAAGAAAAAAAUUAUAAUCAUUAUUUCAAAUGGUUGUAUCUAAACCUUUUAUGAAUUAUUUUUCAGUUAUAAGUAUAUUGAGAUUAAUGGAUAAUCAUGAAAUUGUUAUAUAAUUGCUGCUAUCAUUCCAUUGACUAAAGAACCAUAAUUUUUUUUUUUUUAAUUAAUUUCAAAAUGAUUUUUUUCAAGCAUAGAGUUCACAUAGAUCUUGAGUGAAUUUUUUUUUUUUAUUUGACUAAUGCUUCAAUUUUAUUGUAUCAUAUUAGUUGUUAAUUUUUAUUACCCAGAAUAUUUAAAAAAUGAGUACACUAUUUUCAUGUAAUAAUGUAACUUGGUAUUCACACAAUGCUCAAAAUACACUAUAAUGUUUAGGCCAUACAGAUUUGUAUAAAUUAACUUGUUUAAAUACAUUGUAAAUGUAUAUUGUUUGGAUAAGAAUAAAGUUUUUCCGUAGACAAUUAUUGUUCAAGAUUUGUUGAUGCUCCUGCUUAAUCAAUUAUAUAUACAGGUCAUUAGUUUUAACACGUCUGAUAAUAAAUGACAGUACAAGUUAGUGAAUGAAAAUUUGUCAUUAUUUCAUCUGCUUUAGUCCUACAUCAAUGUGAGGUACCAGUACUUUGAUUGUGUCAUAUAACAAUUUAAAGCAACAUUUUGAAAUGAAUAGUCUGUAGAAUUGACAGUAAAUACAUUUAAGUGAUGGGCUGUGAUCUGCGUGAAUUGGGAGCUGAUCAUGUAUUGAAUUUGUGUUUUUGAUCUUUACUUCAAGUAAAUGUUAAUGAGCAAUUAAUUUUUAAUGAAUAAAUAAUUUAAAAAUAAAUACAAAAGAACCAUAAA